rnacentral:miRNA from 1 species
GACUUCGCUGAACACAAAUAUUAGUGAUUCAAAACAGUAAAACAUAUCACAGCGAUGAUAUUGUCAGUGAAAGUUACUUUUUUUGCAUUUUUCACACACAAACAGCACUUUUACUGAUAUAAUUGUUGUGAUACGUUUUCCAGUUUUUAAACACUAAUAUAUGUGUUCAGCGAUGUC